GCUCCAAUGGCCUAAUAGAUAAGGCACUGGCAUCCUAAACCAGAGAUUGUGGGUUCAAGUCCCACCUGGGGUU
rfam:Chelonia mydas contig80647, whole genome shotgun sequence.